AUUGCCUCAGUAACGGCGAGUGAAGCGGCAACAGCUCAAAUUUGAAAUCUGGUCCCAGGCCCGAGUUGUAAUUUGCAGAGGAUGCUUUUGACAAGGUGCCUUCCGAGUUUCCUGGAACGGGACGCCAUAGAGGGUGAGAGCCCCGUCUGGUCGGACACCGAGUCUCUGUAAAGCUCCUUCGACGAGUCGAGUAGUUUGGGAAUGCUGCUCUAAAUGGGAGGUAUAUGUCUUCUAAAGCUAAAUACCGGCCAGAGACCGAUAGCGCACAAGUAGAGUGAUCGAAAGAUGAAAAGCACUUUGAAAAGAGAGUUAAACAGCACGUGAAAUUGUUGAAAGGGAAGCGUUUAUGACCAGACUUGGCCCGGUUGAUCAUCCAGCGUUCUCGCUGGUGCACUCUGCCGGUCCAGGCCAGCAUCAGUUCGCUGCGGGGGAUAAAGGUUUCGGGAAUGUGGCUCCUCCGGGAGUGUUAUAGCCCGUUGCGUAAUACCCUGUGGUGGACUGAGGUCCGCGCUUCUGCAAGGAUGCUGGCGUAAUGGUCAUCAACGACCCGUCUUGAAACACGGACCAAGGAGUCGUCUUCGUAUGCGAGUGUUCGGGUGUAAAACCCCUACGCGUAAUGAAAGUGAACGCAGGUGAGAGCUUCGGCGCAUCAUCGACCGAUCCUGAUGUUCUCGGAUGGAUUUGAGUAAGAGCAUACGGGGCCGGACCCGAAAGAAGGUGAACUAUGCCUGUAUAGGGUGAAGCCAGAGGAAACUCUGGUGGAGGCUCGCAGCGGUUCUGACGUGCAAAUCGAUCGUCAAAUAUGGGCAUGGGGGCGAAAGACUAAU
rnacentral:rRNA from 1 species